UACGUAGGGGGCAAGCGUUGUCCGGAUUUAUUGGGCGUAAAGCGCUCGCAGGUGGUUCGUUGCGUCGUGCGUGAAAGACCCCGGCUCAACUGGGGGAUGUCGUGCGAUACGGGCAGGCUAGAGUUCGGUAGGGGAGACUGGAAUUCCUGGUGUAGCGGUGAAAUGCGCAGAGUAUCAGGAGGAACACCGGUGGCGAAGGC
rnacentral:rRNA from 1 species